rnacentral:rRNA from 1 species
GCCGCUACACAUGCAGUCGAGCGAGAACUUCGGUUUCUAGCGGCGGACGGGUGAGUAACACGUGGGUAACCUGCCUCAUAGAGGGGGAUAGCCUCCCGAAAGGGAGAUUAAUACCGCAUAAGAAGUAAAAGUCACAUGACUUUAGCUUUAAAGGAGUAAUCCGCUAUGAGAUGGACCCGCGGCGCAUUAGCUAGUUGGUGAGGUAACGGCUCACCAAGGCGACGAUGCGUAGCCGGCCUGAGAGGGCGAACGGCCACAUUGGAACUGAGAGACGGUCCAGACUCCUACGGGAGGCAGCAGUGGGGAAUAUUGCACAAUGGGGGAAACCCUGAUGCAGCAACGCCGCGUGAGAGAAGAAGGCCUUCGGGUUGUAAAUCUCUGUCAUUGGGGACGAUAAUGACGGUACCCAAGGAGGAAGCCACGGCUAACUACGUGCCAGCAGCCGCGGUAAUACGUAGGUGGCGAGCGUUGUCCGGAAUUACUGGGCGUAAAGGAUGCGUAGGCGGAAAGAUAAGUGAGAUGUGAAAUACCCGGGCUUAACCUGGGGGGUGCAUUUCAAACUGUUUUUCUAGAGUGCAGGAGAGGAAAGUGGAAUUUCUAGUGUAGCGGUGAAAUGCGUAGAUAUUAGGAAGAACACCAGUGGCGAAGGCGACUUUCUGGACUGUAACUGACGCUGAGGCAUGAAAGCGUGGGGAGCAAACAGGAUUAGAUACCCUGGUAGUCCACGCCGUAAACGAUGGAUACUAGGUGUGGGAGUUGUCAUGACUU